rnacentral:lncRNA from 1 species
CGCACAAAUUAGAAAAUAGUUCCAGAGUGGAGCCAAUAUGGAGAUUGAGCUCAGUCUGAUCAAUACAGUCAUAUUAAACCAGUCACUUUGUCUGAUGCCCCCGAUUAUAAAGGAUGUAGGCCUGGAUCAACCUGCUCCACCCCCGGCGGAUCCCCUCUCUGCUUUUACGCAGAGUUUUGUCAGCUCAUGUGAGGCCAUAACUCUCCGUGUGUGCGAACAGCUCCAAACAAAGUGACAAUGUUCAGAGCGCACGCCCAGCCCUCCGCUCCUCGUCAUUAAACCAAAAAAAGCUCACUUCCUCACAGCGCACGUCUCUCCUGCUGCUGCUCCGUCUGUGGCCAGAUGCAAACCAAACGCCACCCGAUCCACAUGCGACGUAAACUCCUCACCAACAGAUUUUCGGUGCCGUAAUCGCUCCCUCCAACAAACAGAACGGGAUCUACUUGCUGUCUGUGUAGAGAAAGGCAAAGCAGUAGAGAGACACAUCAUAUAUAGAGAGGCGGCGGACUCUCAGGAGCUAUAAGAACUGAACCGGAUUGAGUGUUUUCAUCAGAUUUUUCCAGGAAUCUGGAGGACGCCACUCUGGCAUCACAGCAGGACUAAAUGUUGAUGAAAAGAAGAAGAGUGAGGCUUCCAGCGCACACAUCUGCUCAGUGACUCCUCAUCGUUCUUUACAGUCCUGGAUCUGAGCCACAGUCUUCUCUCUCCCGCAGACUGACUGCGGCUGAGGUGGAGGUGCAGCUGUAGCUGGAAGACGUGAACCCCCCCUAGAAGGCAGGACGUCUGGGGAUGCCAGUUCACCAUGGCAUGCUGGUGUGUCUGGGCGUGCUGCUGAUAAGUGCUGGGGGGGUCAUGGCCCUUGGGGUUGGCCUGCUAUCAGGGGUGUUUCUGAGUCUCGUGGGCAUCGGGCUGCUGGUCAGUGGACUCUGUAUGGCCAUGAAGAAGCUCCAGGUGGCAGUGCCAGGACACUCCAUCCUGCACCCCCGCACAGGCACACGCUUCAGCCCACAGCAGGCCCUGGCCAUACAAAGGAGGUUGGACCAAAUUCGUCGGGAGAUGUCAUCAGACUCUGUCAGGACACCAGAACCUGAACCCUCCCUGCCAUCCACCCCACCACCCUGGACCAUGGAGCCCCCUCCAUCCUAUGACACAGUGAUGAAGAGCCAGGAGCACAACGAUCAGCCUUAACGCCUGGUAGAGUUCUCACAUUCACAUCAGUGCCAUUUGUCUUCAGUUCUCAGAGAGAACCUGGAGGAAACCAGCGGUGCUAUUAGUGAACAUCAAUGCAACAGGCCUCUCACGUGCCUUAAGACAAACACACUGAACCCUGACACAGACCAAACAAAGGAGGAAGAGACUGCAGCUGCUAAGAAGACUUCAUAUUAAUACAGACAGAGGGGCCUCUGUGUUUAUUAAAUACAUGUGUUGAGAGUGAUUGUAAAGAGAAUUGAAACGAUUACUACUAAUGCAGCUGUUCCUGAGACUAACACUAUGUAACUUACAGCAAAGUUGAUGGAUUCCUGUCAGCAGACAGGCUGCGAGUCUCCUGUAGACACAUAAUGAGGACGUUUUAUUGGCCUGCUUUAAUUUAUGUGACCUACUACUGUGGCAGCUCGGCACUCUUCUUCAAACACAAGAACUCUCCACACGCUCGUCUGUAGCCUGUUCCUUUGCAAAAUGCCUUAACCUGUGAGGACAGUAUUAGCUUUGUAUCCACUGUUUGCAGAAUGUCCACUGUUUUGAUGUUAUUAUAAAACCCGGUUAUUGCACAGCUGCAGAGCUCUGUGGGUGGUGUCAAACUAAAGGGAUGCAUUGUUUAUGUAAAAGAAGGAAGCACCAGAAAGACAAGACAGACAUGUGCACAUAAAGACUCACUUAUCUGUUCACAAGCUGACUCCUUUUUGCCAGCAGGUUUAAGCAAGGUGACCUAUCAGCUACACACACACUCACACACACUCACACACCUGCAAUUUGACCUGGCUGUCUGCAGGCUGUCUGCAGGCUGUGAUGAGCAGCAGAGUGGAACCCUAACUGUUCUUUCUCCACCCUCACCUUCAAGCCCAACAAAAUUCAAAUCAGUCCAAUUCAAUUUUAUUUCUAUAGCACCUUUUACAAUCACA